CGGGAAAAGCUCAAAUUUAAAAUCUGGCGGUCUCCGGCCGUCCGAGUUGUAAUUUAGAGAAGCGUUAUCCGUGCUGGACCGUGUAUAAGUCUCCUGGAAUGGAGCGUCAUAGAGGGUGAGAAUCCCGUCUUUGACACGGACUACCAGUGCAUUGUGAUGCGCUCUCGAC
rnacentral:rRNA from 1 species